rnacentral:rRNA from 1 species
GACGAAGGAUGCAAGCGUUAUCCGGAAUCACUGGGCGUAAAGGGCGCGUAGGCGGCCGAUCAAGUCGGGGGUGAAAGCCUGUGGCUCAACCACAGAAUUGCCUUCGAUACUGUUUGGCUUGAGACCGGAAGAGGUUAGUGGAACUGCGAGUGUAGAGGUGAAAUUCGUAGAUAUUCGCAAGAACACCAGUGGCGAAGGCGGCUGACUGGUCCGGUUCUGACGCUGAGGCGCGAAAGCGUGGGGAGCAAACAGG